AAAAACAACAAUUCUCUACUAUUAAUAAAAUUGCGAGAGAAGAAAAAGGGCAACGCUCGAUUAUUAUAUUUUCGUGAGCCACUCGGACUUUAUUUUCUAGCUACAGGUUAGCAACCAAAACGAUAGCGGACCGGAGGACAAGGUUUCCCGCAGUUAGAAUGAAACGAACGGAUCAUCUUAUGGAAGUGAAAUUUCCGAAGAUAUAUAAAAAAAAAGAAUAAAUAAAUAAAAGAAAAUUGAAAGUCUCGGUGUUUAGAUCCUCGGUAGAAUAUUCGAUCAAUUCUUCUCACCACCCGUUGGUUCUUGAAGGUGAUGCUCGUUGACGCGCAAACUCGGGAAUGCCGCGCAAACUCUGAAAACAAGGGGGUCGUCCGCUUCGUUCGUGUAUUGGGGGAUAGUUGGGCAGUCGUUCGCCGAACCGCGUUCACUGAACUUAUACGUGUAGCCGAUUCGCCACCCUUGACCUCAACGACCCCGGAUGAAAGCCACCUGGGGUACGGGGAGAGGUGAAAGAACGUGAGCUUUUUCGAGCUUCGCCAGCGGUUGUAUUACAGCGUUACCACUUCCCCCAUUUCAUCCCAACAUUUCGCUCGCCCAAAUCAGAAGUUACACGAACUUGGCUGCCCGUAUUUUUUUUCGGAAGGAAAAGGUGCGGGCGAUCAACCGUAAUUGAACAGUGAAGGCUACUCCGUGACACGAUUUCAUCGUGUCUGAGGUCGAUGAUUGACUCGCGCCGAUGAAAUCGUUCGACGCUCACCGUAACACGAUUAUCACUUAUUCAACGGCAGAAUUUAGCGGAGAACUUUACGAACUGUGAAAAUUAAUCACGUACGUCGGAAAACCUUUCGACGAUACGGAUGAAAAAAAGUCGACUCGAGGAGUAACGACGACCGACGAUCAUCGCGAUGACUGAAGUUUAAUCGACAAGGCAUUUGUACGGGGGGAAAAUCCUAUCGCCGACUGAAGGCAUUGAUUGAAAAGCGUUUGAUUUUCCUCGGGCUUCGAUUCAUUGAGAAGAAGUCACUGCGGAACCAAUCGUUUGUGAUUGAUGAGCAACCAAUGCCACGUGAGUCUUCCAUCAUUCGUUUCGAGAGAAAAUCAGGUGAAUUCUUCUCUCGGAAUUCUUUUAUCUUGGUGACACUGAAUUGAAUUCUGCAAAAGAAGCUAUCGAUAGAAAAAAAAAACCUCACGAAUCCGCCGAGUUUUUCGAAGCUGAUAAAAACAACGACGCAUCCCGAUAUCCCCCUGCAAUUUAAACGUUGCUCGAGUGUUCAAAUAAUUCUUCAUCGACGAGUAAAAGAUGGAAAUACGUAAAACUAAUUGACUGAUUAUCUUCAUUCGAUAUUGUGCCAAUUCGUCGAACAGCGAAUGGAUCAUUCGUGCAAAACGUUCAUGGAAAAAAAGGAGAUAGCGCAAAAGUAAUAAGAAAUAUCAGACCGAGGUUGAGGCAGGAGAAAAAACUGAAAAAGAAAAAUGAAACGUGACUUGAAAGUGGAGACUUAAAAUUAAUGGAUAAUAAUUUAAAAAACACCAUCUACAGUUACGCGUGACACGUGCGAAUCCCCCGGGAGUCGUAGAGAUCCUCGAAGAUGGAUAACUUUCAAAUAUUCAUAUUUUUUUUUGUCUGCAGUAUUUUCAAAGAUAUCGGUGGUAUAAACAUAAACGUGGUGAGUAUCCCGAAGAUCGUGCGGGACGGUACGGAGGAGCCGAUCGUGUUGGACUGCGACUACGAGAUGGGAAAAUCGUCGAACACGGGCUUGACGAUAAAGUGGUACAUCGGGCAGGACCUGCUCUACCAAUGGAUCCAAGGAACGCCGCCGAAGGCCUCCGAAGAAUUUCUUAACCACGUAGACGCGUCCUACAGGGCGAGCGACGACCCGGACACGAUGUACAGAGCCGUUAAACUAGUCAGACCCGGACCCGACCUCUCCGGCGAAUACAGAUGCGUCGUAUUCACCCACGACGACGAGGACGAGGCCAGAGGCAGGAUGCUCGUAUAUUCGCCGGAGCAUCGCUUCCGGUUAUUACAUCUUCACAGACGAAACGACGACGCCAAUCGACAGUUGAUCGUCGAAUGUAUAGCGGAGGGGGUUUUUCCGCAGCCGAAGAUAACCCUGCUUACGGACGCGGAAGUUAUCCGUGAUCAAGAGCACCUCUACUUGGAACGCGCCGACGGACGAUUCGACGUGAAAGCGGUCGCCGUAUUGGAUACCGAAACUUUGCAACUUCCGAUAACCUUGAAGUGCGAACUGUACAUACAAGAGGCCAACUACACAGCGAUACGAGAGUACGUCUACAGCGGGUCCAGCGAACCACCGGAGCUCUCGAUGGCCGCUUACCUUCUCUUCGCCGUUGUGUUUUUCGUAGACGCCAGAGGAUGAUGAUGAACUUGGCUGUCGACGCGUGAGUAACUCAAAACCAUGAAGAGAUCGAGAAAAUAUUUUUUGAACUAAUCGAUGGCUAGGACGAGAACGGGAAGCAACAAUUCAUCAAUUUUACGUAACAACUGUCUCCGUUCAACUGCGGCAAUUGUUCCAUACCGACAUAUUGUCUACUACACAUGCAUAUGUACAUUAUCAGAUGCUUGUGGUUUAUUUCCAAAGGUCGUUAUACAACUAAUAUAAGCGAAUAGCUAAAUUCGAAAAAAAUUGGCGUGUCCUUUUCAAUCUGAUCGCCACAAUUGGAAAAGUUUACUGAAUUAUACAUUAUUCAUUAUAUUUCGCAAUGAAUGAUAUAAUAUAUGAAUGAACGAGCGAACAGACGAAUGAAUGGAUUAAUAUUGUAUACAGGUAAGUGACGCGAAUGAAUCGACAGGAACGAUAAGAGGAAAAAAUAACGAACGAACGGAAUAUGUGUGUAAAAAAAGAUCAUCGUAUUAUUUGGGUAUAGACGGUAUUGAAAUGAAGCUGUGAUAAUAUCCGAUCGUACGUAUUCAGAUGGGUGAAAUUACGGGGAAGGAGAAAAAAAUCUGCGAAGUUUGCGUAGAAAAAUUGAAUGAAAAAAAUUUAAACGUCAAUUUCUACAUUAAUAAAUUAUAAAGUUAUGACUCACAUAAAUUUACGUUGCUAUUUAUGUAUAUUUGAAUCUUGUAAUUUAUAUGAGAAAUUAUAUAGAAGAUAUUAUUGUAUCGAUAUGUGUACGUAAACGUGUGAUAUACAUAUUAUAGAAUCGAUCGAGAGAGAGAGAAAAAAAAAAAAAAUAUUAUAAUAAUACCGAUAAUAAUAAUAAAACAUACACGUGAUUAUUAUAUAUGUGUUGAAAUUUAUUUGACUCACGUAGCGAACGGUUGGCGAAGUAGCCAUUUUGAAUACUUAACAUCGUGAUGAGAGAUGGGAUCACUGUGAACUAAACAUAUGAUUCUCUAUCUCUUUUUCUGAUCGCAGGGGUAGAUAAUUGGAUGAACGGACGACUAAAUGAAUGUGAAUCGAUAAAUCACGAUUCGUGUUCAGAGUAUCGGUCGAUCGUGAAGCACGCGAGACGAAAAAAAUCGUCGAUAUGCGUGGACACUUGGCCGAAGGGUUGAGGCUGAACCGAGGACUGAGUUAACGAAGAAACGAAAUAAGGCGGCGACGGUCGUGUUUUUCUUUUUCCGUUCUCGCGCUCGUCGCGUAUUCCCCACAUUUGUACAAACUACCCUUUCUCGUAUUCCGUGUGCAGUUCGCGACCUCACAAAGGGAAUGCAAAUUGGCCAAAUCUGUCAAACCGAAGGUCUCACGCUACCGCUUCCCAUGCGUACUAACAACUCCGCAGUCGCGAUAUCCAUAUCGUAAGGGAAACCGUAAAAAGCAAAAAACAAAAGAGAAUUCAUAAAAACGUACAUGUCGUCGGACAGCUCCGAGGUAUCCGGGCAUCUAGGGAGAAAAAGGAGGCGCGUGCCUGUUGAGGGCGAAAAAUAAACCGGCACAAAUAGAUCGCUCAGGGUUUGAUGUAUCGCUGAAAUAUCAUUCCGAAUGCGCAAUGGUCCGAUAAAGUAACGGUUAUAUUAAUAGUCUUAUCUGGUACGGAGGACUCACCUCUUUUCGAGUGGUGGCUCUUCAUUUUAUUGAAAGCCAGCUAGCUCGCUAUACACGCACCGUUUGCUUUCUCCGGCUGAUAUUUUCGUCUUUUUAUUUUUCAGGCAUCGGUAGAAUUUCAGAUACUCAAAUUUGACGCAGUCGUGUUACGGCCGUGUUCAAGCUCGUUGUCGUCGUCUGCGAAUAUUCACGUAGUUUCAACGAAUUUCAAUUUCACGCGCAAAAGAUUCGUCGAUUGACGAUUACAUCGACGGAGGUCGAAUGAUGGAUCUUCGAUGCUUGCGCGUAUAACUAUAAGCGGAUGUUUUCGUUCGUUUGAGGGUGAGUCGAUAUCUCCCUAAUAGCUACUCCGUAGCGAAUAGGGAAAGCCCCUUUUGUUUUCCGAGUCGACUACUACUUGGAAUUAAUGAGCUACCCGUGCAGAAGCGUGCCGAAGGAAUUGUUGGCUUUCAUAUUGGCAAUUUUGCUAAGCUGUUUACAGCAGAGGGGUUUUCACAUAGUAGCCGGUGUAUACAUACCUAUAUAACUUGAGGACGUAAAGUAGGUUGGUAGGUACUGCAGACGCUGCACGGUAGUUUGAAUAUCAAUUGAGCAGAAAAUUUAUAUGAUGAAAACAAGCGGGAAGGAAACCAAACGAGAAGCGAUCGCAAAACGAACGAUAGAGAGAGAGAGGGAAAAAUUUCGUCAAAGGAAGAAGUUCACACGUUAAUUGAGACGUUGAGAAUAUUCUGAUAAACUGAAGAUACAUAUAUGCUCCAGGAAGAACGCGAGGAAAAAAAAAAACGUGAGUUUUUCAAUCGUUGGGAACGACGGUCUACCGUCGAGGGGAAAAAUUGCCGCAAACUUCGCCGCGUUCGCGAGAACACCGGAAACGCAAGGGGUUCGAAGAUUUUCUUCAUACAAGCACUUCUGAUCUCAGCUAUAUAACCGGCAAAAGUAGCAUCGUCUGAUACCAGCUCCGAGCUUUUCUACAACUCACGCCGCCGCUGGCGAUAUUCGUUUGAGUUUUCUUAAAGGGUAAUAAACAACCUCAAGCGUACUCCAACGGCCGUUCGUUUCCUUCCGGAUUUAAACGCGUAACGUGUACGUAUAAUUUGUACAAGGUAUAGCCGGUAAACCGAAAUGAAUUUCUUUUUGAUUUCAGCGCAUCCGAUGCAUAUUAAAACCACUGAUUCGGAAUAAUAACUGUUUCAUUUAAUCUCAUUUCAUCCCCCGGAG